ensembl:lncRNA LINC02438 long intergenic non-protein coding RNA 2438
CUGCCUCAGCCUCCCGAGUACGCGGGACCACAGGCGCCUGCCAUCAUGCCCGGCUAAUUUUUUUUUGUUUGUUUUUGUUUUUUUGUAUUGUUAGUAGAGACGGGGUUUCACCAUGUUAGCCAGGAUGGUCUUGAUGUCCUGACCUCGUGACCCGCCCGCCUCGGCCUCCCAAAGUGCGAAUGAAAGCUUUAAGAGGGCUGCUUGUUUCUGGCAGCUCUCAGGUUCUUCCUGUCUGCCUCAGAAGUGGCAUAUUCCACAUACGGGCUGCAUCUUCAGUCUGGACUCAUCCUCUUCAAGAUGAGACAGGUGGAGCAGAGCUGCCACCAACCUCCGGUGAUUUCCACACAAUGUGUCCUAGAAGAAGAGACCCUACACUGGGCUUGUGACCAGCGGAAACUGAAUCAAUGCUGGAGACACAUUCUAACAGUCGAAUGGGCAGCUCACAGGAGGUGUUUAAUUAUUAUGAGUCAGCCAACCCAAUUUUGUGAACAAUGCAACACGGACAAGAAUGUUUGAAGGCACCAUGAUAAUGCCAUCCUAUGAGAUUUCUUUUUGAAAAAUUAAUUAGCCUUCAAUUGUUACAUCUUAACUGCCGUCUUCUGUCUCCCUACAAAAUCGUAGUCAUCUCCUACUUACCUACA